rnacentral:rRNA from 1 species
UACAGAGGGUGCGAGCGUUAAUCGGAAUUACUGGGCGUAAAGCGCGCGUAGGCGGCUUUGCAAGUCGGGUGUGAAAUCCCCAGGCUUAACCUGGGAACUGCAUUCGAGACUGCAUUGCUAGAGUAUGGGAGAGGGAAGUGGAAUUUCCGGUGUAGCGGUGAAAUGCGUAGAUAUCGGAAGGAACAUCAGUGGCGAAAGCGGCUCUCUGGAACGGUACUGACGCUGAGACGCGAAAGCGUGGGGAGCGAACAGG